UGGGGAAUAUUGGACAAUGGGCGCAAGCCUGAUCCAGCCAUGCCGCGUGAGUGAUGAAGGCCCUAGGGUUGUAAAGCUCUUUCACCGGUGAAGAUAAUGACGGUAACCGGAGAAGAAGCCCCAGCUAACUUCGUGCCAGCAGCCGCGGUAAUACGAAGGGGGCUAGCGUUGUUCGGAUUUACUGGGCGUAAAGCGCACGUAGGCGGACUUUUAAGUCAGGGGUGAAAUCCCGGGGCUCAACCCCGGAACUGCCUUUGAUACUGGAAGUCUUGAGUAUGGUAGAGGUGAGUGGAAUUCCGAGUGUAGAGGUGAAAUUCGUAGAUAUUCGGAGGAACACCAGUGGCGAAGGCGGCUCACUGGACCAUUACUGACGCUGAGGUGCGAAAGCGUGGGGAGCAAACAGG
rnacentral:rRNA from 1 species